rnacentral:rRNA from 1 species
AGUGAACGCUGGCGGUAGGCCUAACACAUGCAAGUCGAACGGCAGCACAGUAAGAGCUUGCUCUUACGGGUGUCGAGUGGCGGACGGGUGAGGAAUACAUCGGAAUCUACUUUUUCGUGGGGGAUAACGUAGGGAAACUUACGCUAAUACCGCAUACGACCUACGGGUGAAAGCAGGGGAUCUUCGGACCUUGCGCGAUUGAAUGAGCCGAUGUCGGAUUAGCUAGUUGGCGGGGUAAAGGCCCACCAAGGCGACGAUCCGUAGCUGGUCUGAGAGGAUGAUCAGCCACACUGGAACUGAGACACGGUCCCGACUCCUACGGGAGGCAGCAGUGGGGAAUAUUGGACAAUGGGCGCAAGCCUGAUCCAGCCAUACCGCGUGGGUGAAGAAGGACUUCGGGUUGUAAAGCCAUUUUGUUGGGAAAGAAAAGCAGCAGGUUAAUACCCCGCUGUUCUGACGGUACCCAAAGAAUAAGCACCGGCUAACUUCGUG